rnacentral:rRNA from 1 species
GGGGAAUUUUCCGCAAUGGGCGAAAGCCUGACGGAGCAACGCCGCGUGAGGGAGGAAGGCCUUAGGGUUGUAAACCUCUUUUCUCAGGGAAGAAGAUCUGACGGUACCUGAGGAAUAAGCCUCGGCUAACUCCGUGCCAGCAGCCGCGGUAAGACGGAGGAGGCAAGCGUUAUCCGGAAUUAUUGGGCGUAAAGCGUCCGCAGGCGGCCGAUUAAGUCUGCUGUUAAAGACCACAGCUCAACUGUGGGAUAGCAGUGGAAACUGGUUGGCUAGAGAGCGGUAGGGGUAGAGGGAAUUCCAGGUGUAGCGGUGAAAUGCGUAGAUAUCUGGAAGAACACCAGUGGCGAAGGCGCUCUACUGGGCCGUUACUGACGCUGAGGGACGAAAGCUAGGGGAGCGAAAGGGAUUAGAUACCCCUGUAGUCA